rnacentral:rRNA from 1 species
AUACGGAGGGUGCAAGCGUUGUUCGGAUUCACUGGGUAUAAAGGGUGCGCAGGCGGCCCGAUAAGUCAGGGGUGAAAUAUGACGGCUCAACCGUCAAACUGCCCCUGAAACUGUCAGGCUUGAGUUCGAGAGAGGUAGGUGGAAUUCCAGGUGUAGCGGUGAAAUGCGUAAAUAUCUGGAGGAACACCGGUGGCGAAGGCGGCCUACUGGCUCGAUACUGACGCUCAGGCACGAAAGCAUGGGGAGCGAACGGGAUUAGAUACCCGAGUAGUCC